rnacentral:tRNA from 1 species
GGGGAUGUAGCUCAGCUGGGAGAGCGCCUGCCUUGCACGCAGGAGGUCGGCGGUUCGAUCCCGCUCAUCUCCACCA